rnacentral:rRNA from 1 species
UACGAAGGGGGCUAGCGUUGCUCGGAAUUACUGAGCGUAAAGCGCACGUAGGCGGCUUCUUAAGUCGGUGGUGAAAUCCUGGAGCUCAACUCCAGAACUGCCUUCGAUACUGGGAAGCUCGAGUCCGGGAGAGGUGAGUGGAACUGCGAGUGUAGAGGUGAAAUUCGUAGAUAUUCGCAAGAACACCAGUGGCGAAGGCGGCUCGCUGGCCCGGUACUGACGCUGAGGUGCGAAAGCGUGGGGAGCAAACAGG